GGGCCAAAGGACAUUUUUUGGGGCAUUAACAUUUGGCCUCACAAGAUUCCACAGCCUGGCCGCCAUCACAAUCGCCUGUCCUCAUAGUAACACACAUUCCACCGGUUGCUAGGGCCCCUUUGGAGGAAGGUGGGAUACCUUUGAGGUGCCUUUUAGGAAGAACUACAGUGUGGGCCUUCGGCACCCCUAGGGACCACUUUGAAAACUAGAAUUCCCCCACUUGAAAUCCAGAAUUCCAUCAUUUGAAGUCUCUUCUCUUGAAGUUCCUCUUUUAAAUGCAGGCUGCAUUGAGAUGAGUCACAAUUAGCUCCACAAACCUUGUUAUGGGCCGGAGUUUGUCCUCUCACCCCCCACAUUCAUAUGUUGAAGUCCUAGCCCCCAGGACCUUGGAAUGUGACUUCAUGAAGAGAUGAGGGUCUUUACAGAGGUGAUUAUGUUAAAAUGAGGUCAUUAGGGUGGGUCCUUAUCCAGUGUGACUGAGGAAACUUAAACACAGAUGUGCACCUGAGGAGAUGAUGUGAAGAUGAGGGAGAAGAUGGCCGUCUGAAGACCAAAGAGAGGUCUCAUAUCAGAGUUCUCCAGAGAAUCAACAGGAGCCCCAUCUUAUACGUUCAAAUAGAACUUAUAAAGAAGGGGCUCAGGUGAUUAUGGAAGCUGAGAAGUGGCACGAUCUGCUGUCAGAAAGUGGGAGACUCCUGAAGGCUGAUGUAUAACUUCUGGCCUGAGUCUGAAGGCCUAGUAACCAGGAGCGCUGCUGGUUUAAGUCCCGGUCCAAGACUGAUAUCUCAGGCAGAGAGAGUCAGUUCAGUUUUCCUCUGCCUUUUUCCUCCAUUCAGGCCUUCAAAGGAUGAGAUGAUGCCCAUCCACACUGAAACAGGGAGGUUGUCCUCCAUGAAACUGCAUGAAUUCAUUAAGGAAAGCAGUAUAUUCCAAGCAAGCCAGAUGCCCUCUCAUUUCCCCUGUCCCAAGAAUGCCUGAUGAGGCCAUUUAAAGCAGGUGUAAUUAUUGCUUCCUGACAAGCAAGGAGCCUGAGUCACACAGAGAGAUGAAGUGAUCAGUGUCCGAGUGCGGAGGAUGUUAGUGGUUGAGCUAAGGCUGGAAGGCGGGCUUCCCGUCUCCUUCCCUGAUGUGUUUACACUAGACCACUGGAUGGUCUUUAGGGCUCCAACUCUGAGUGUCAUCUUUGAGCAGCAUUUCCUGGAAAGCCAAGACUAAGGCAUGCAUGUGAAGAUCAAGUCCCAUCUGGUCCUGGGAAGCACUGCAAACCUUCUCCCCCUCCCCUUCUAGAAACUCCCAGUUCACAUCAGCAUAAUAAAG